GGUCUGUAAGAUUUGACACAGAAGAAGAAGAGAGACCCAUGUUUUAUUACAGUAAACCUCUCAACUAUCUAAAAAGGAGAGAUCGUUUGGAACUCAUGGAGGCUUUACUUCAAAUAAGAAUGAUGCAAAAAAGAUUUGAGCAGUGAUUGCCUUUUGUUUGCCAUAAAAUGCAUAGCCGGGGCAUAAUGUGUUGCCCCUCUUGGCCAUUCCAUCUUUGUUAGCUUUAUGAACGUCUUGUUUUAUUUUGGUGUAAGACAGUAGUGUGAUACACUGAUGCUUCUAUCAUGAUGCUUGCCCCAAUAUGAUUUUAAUAACUACAUGUAAUAUUGAAAAGAGUAAAGACUUGAUGUGGC
rnacentral:misc_RNA from 1 species